rnacentral:rRNA from 1 species
CAGCAGUCGCCGCGGGAACACGUAGGGUGCAAGCGUUAAUCGGAAUUACUGGGCGUAAAGCGUGCGCAGGCGGUUAUAUAAGACAGAUGUGAAAUCCCCGGGCUCAACCUGGGAACUGCAUUUGUGACUGUAUAGCUAGAGUACGGCAGAGGGGGAUGGAAUUCCGCGUGUAGCAGUGAAAUGCGUAGAUAUGCGGAGGAACACCGAUGGCGAAGGCAAUCCCCUGGGCCUGUACUGACGCUCAUGCACGAAAGCGUGGGGAGCAAACAGGAUUAGAUACCCCGGUAGUCCCUGUCUCUUAUAC